rnacentral:misc_RNA from 1 species
GAUGAAGAACGUAGCGAAAUGCGAUAAGUAGUGUGAAUUGCAGGAUUCCGUGAAUCAUCGAAUCUUUGAACGCACAUUGCGCCUCCUGGUAAUCCGUGAGGCAUGCCUGUCCGAGCGUCAGUAAAAAGCAACUCGGCCGCGGCUGGCGGUUGGUGAUGGAGGAAGAGCACGUCUCGUUGUCGGUCUCCCCUCCCAAAAUCAACGGCGGAAUGUCACUGGCACUCGGUGUUGUAGUAUUAUUCGCCGAUCACCCAUUGUUGUUCCUGCCGCCCAAACCCCCACAAUUCUCUUGAUUGACCUCGGAUCAGGUAGGGAUACCCGCUGAACUUAAGCAUAUCAAUAAGCGGAGGA